rnacentral:rRNA from 1 species
GUGGGGAAUUUUGGACAAUGGGGGCAACCCUGAUCCAGCCAUGCCGCGUGCGGGAAGAAGGCCUUCGGGUUGUAAACCGCUUUUAGUCGGGAAGAAAAGAUCACUCUGAAUACGGGUGGUUCUUGACGGUACCGGCGGAAUAAGCACCGGCUAACUACGUGCCAGCAGCCGCGGUAAUACGUAGGGUGCGAGCGUUAAUCGGAAUUACUGGGCGUAAAGCGUGCGCAGGCGGUUCGUUAAGUUCGAUGUGAAAGCCCCGGGCUCAACCUGGGAAUGGCAUUGAAAACUGGCGGGCUUGAGUCUGGCAGAGGGGGGUGGAAUUCCGCGUGUAGCAGUGAAAUGCGUAGAGAUGCGGAGGAACACCGAUGGCGAAGGCAGCCCCCUGGGCCAAGACUGACGCUCAGGCACGAAAGCGUGGGGAGCAAACAGGAUUAGAAACCCCAGUAGUCC